CCUGGUAGUCCACGCCCUAAACGAUGUCUACUAGUUGUCGGGUCUUAAUUGACUUGGUAACGCAGCUAACGCGUGAAGUAGACCGCCUGGGGAGUACGGUCGCAAGAUUAAAACUCAAAGGAAUUGACGGGGACCCGCACAAGCGGUGGAUGAUGUGGAUUAAUUCGAUGCAACGCGAAAAACCUUACCUACCCUUGACAUGGCUGGAAUCCUCGAGAGAUUGGGGAGUGCUCGAAAGAGAACCAGUACACAGGUGCUGCAUGGCUGUCGUCAGCUCGUGUCGUGAGAUGUUGGGUUAAGUCCCGCAACGAGCGCAACCCUUGUCAUUAGUUGCUACGAAAGGGCACUCUAAUGAGACUGCCGGUGACAAACCGGAGGAAGGUGGGGAUGACGUCAAGUCCUCAUGGCCCUUAUGGGUAGGGCUUCACACGUCAUACAAUGGUACAUACAGAGCGCCGCCAACCCGCGAGGGGGAGCUAAUCGCAGAAAGUGUAUCGUAGUCCGGAUUGUAGUCUGCAACUCGACUGCAUGAAGUUGGAAUCGCUAGUAAUCGCGGAUCAGCAUGUCGCGGUGAAUACGUUCCCGGGCCUUGUACACACC
rnacentral:rRNA from 1 species